rnacentral:rRNA from 1 species
AACGCGAAGAACCUUACCAGGCCUUGACAUCCAAUGAACUUUCCAGAGAUGGAUUAGUGCCUUCGGGAACAUUGAGACAGGUGCUGCAUGGCUGUCGUCAGCUCGUGUCGUGAGAUGUUGGGUUAAGUCCCGUAACGAGCGCAACCCUUGUCCUUAGUUACCAGCACGUAAUGGUGGGCACUGUAAGGAGACUGCUGGUGACAAACCGGAGGAAGGUGGGGAUGAUGUCAAGUCAUCAUGGCCCUUACGGCCUGGGCUACACACGUGCUACAAUGGUCGGUACAGAGGGUUGCCAAGCCGCGAGGUGGAGCUAAUCCCAUAAAACCGAUCGUAGUCCGGAUCGCAGUCUGCAACUCGACUGCGUGAAGUCGGAAUCGCUAGUAAUCGCGAAUCAGAAUGUCGCGGUGAAUACGUUCCCGGGCCUUGUACACACCG